CGCGCCGUCUUCCUCAACUCCGGCGGCCAUCGAGCCCUGUCUCUCCGGUGAGUCGCCUUGAACCGUCCGAUCCCCAUCCAAUGGCCAAGAUUAGAUCUGGUUUUUUUUUCUUUGCCGAACCGUUUUUCUCUAUGUUGUGGCCGUUCGUCGUUUAAGCCUAGCAGCGAAUGGUUCUCAGCCAUUAGUAGCCCGCCACGUGACAACGCCACAGCAGCCUCGGCAGUUCUUCCAAGAACGCUAUUAUGGCAUAAUUUUUCUUUACAGAUUUCAUAUCAUAUUUUCGUUUAAGUAUAUCUUGAGAUCUGUAACUCCAAAUUCAACGAUACUUUUUCCUGUGUACUCGUAGAUACCAGGAGAAUACCUUAGAACCAAAAACUCACAUCUUUUGCACUGUUUAAUUUGAAAUUGCUCAAAUUUUAAUUCAACCUUCCGGAGGCCAUAUCUUUCAAACCAUUUAUCCAGAUCAGUUGAAUCUUUUUGCAUUGUGAUCCUACUAGCAUGUAGACAAUAUUUACCUACUAUUAUGUUAUGCCAAUGAAAUUUUUAUUUGAAUUCCUUGUUGUUUACUUUAUUUUAGUGUUAUGUGAGCAUAGUUUAUUUAUCGGUGACUCCGUUAAUCGUAUAGAUUGUCCAGAGUGUGAAGCGGAUCAGAAUUAAGCGUUAGAGUACUUCAACAUCGUUCAAGGCAAGUUUGCACUUUUGAUCUUGCUCAUCCUAUAUUCUGCUAUGCAUGUGUGAUUUUUAUGCUAUGGCAUGUGCUUGGUUUGAUCUGUAUGUUCUCUGUUGUCAUAUUCUGAUAUUGAUUGUGCUAUGUGAUGGUGUGAUCAACUUGCUAUGGUAGACGUGGGCAUGUGUCGAGUGAUGCAUGGAAGUGGUGAGUGUCUAUAGCUGUAGGUUCGGGACUUUGACUCAGGUCAAUGCGUCAAUGGCUAAGCGCUCUAUUGUCCCUAGAGAAUGCGCCAUGACUGAGCGCACUUGAGUUGUCGGGGCUUUUUCUCACGUCCAUGCGUCACUGGCUGAGCGCUCUAUUGUCCCUAGAGAAUGCGCCAGGGCUGAGCGCACUUGAGACAUCUUUAAGAUCCUUAUCAUCUGUGUUGUUUGCACCUUGCCUAUGUCGUGGAGGUAGGUGGAGGUAGUUGUACGCGAAACCAAACUUGAGUGUUUUGUUUGUCAUACUUUGCAGGUAGAUGUAGGUUUGCUUUAUCAGUAUGUGUAAUUUGCCAAUACAUUCAAUGUAUUGACCCUUUGUGGCUGCAACUUAUCAUGUUGCGGGAUUUUCAGAUGAUCAGUAAGAUACAGUAGGGUCGCGAGUCUUCACUCAACAUCUUCUCCAGUGGGCAUUGAUGGACUCAUCGUUUAUUAUGCUACGUUUCUGCUGUUAUUAUUGAAUAAGUUAGCUAUGUGCUACUCAGAUUGUAAUACCUUAUGAAUUCUGGAUCAUACGUUAUAGUAAAUGAUGCACUUGUUAUUUGAUAUUCAUAUGUACUGUGUGUGCUAGCGAGUCGAUCCAGGGACUAGCACUGUAAGCACAGAGACAUCAAAUCUUAUCAGGUUCGGGUCGUUAUAGAUGGUAUCAGAGCACUGUGUUGACUGUAGGUCGUGACCCUAAAAAAUGGAUUAGAAAAGCCAUAGGAGUGAAAACUUACUUUACAACUUGUUGUCUACUUGUUAGUUCAUACUCUUGUACUCAUAUCUUUUUUUUUCAAAUAUAGAUGACCCCUGGAAUUAUAUUAGUGCCAUUUGAGAAGUUCUAGUUGACAGACCACCAUUUCUCAUUUGUUACUGAUAAACGAUUUGCGGUAGUAUGAUGAGAUCAUAUCUCUUAUGGAUAUGACCUUACCUGUAGGUUUUGCUUGUGUUUUGUGAUAUGUCAUAUGUUUGGUUGGUCAUUGCUUUAUAUGUUGUCAUCUUUCAUGGGUUGUUUGUAUUAUGCAAUUGGGUCCUUUGAUUGAUCAUAUUUGCUCUUUUCAUGUGAUUACUUUAGGAUAGUUUUGGUGACUUGUGUGAAUUGUGUGAAUUUAGUGUUUGUUUUUGUUGUUGUUGGAGUUUUAGCUGCUAGCAUGGGCAUAUGGUAGUGUUCCCCUUAGACCUAUUUCUAUCUAUAUCUCACCUCUGCUUACCCAUCAGAUGCCGCCGAGGCGUAACACUCGAGGCAGUGGUUCAGGAGACAACAACAACAAUGACAUAUCACCAUAAAUGCAGCAAUUUCUUCAGGGACAAACCCAGUUGAUACAGUUACUUGUUCAGAACCAGAAAAACAACAACAACAAUAAUCCACCCCCACCCCCAGUUGAUGCACUUACUCGUUUCUUGAGGUUGAAUCCUCAGAGGUUUUCUCCUAUUGUGGCUGAUGAUUGGUUGCGCUCAGUUAAUAGGAAUUUGGACACAGUUGGUUGCACUGAUCCAGAGAGAGUGAGGUUUGCCUCGCAUUUGUUAGAAGGACCAGCCGCAGCAUGGUGGGACAAUUACUUGGUCACUUAUCCUAUUGCUACUAUCACUUGGGCGCAGUUCCAGGCAGGUUUUCGCGCGGCACAUGUGUCUGCUGGAGCCAUGAGUCUAAAGAAGAAGGAGUUUCACAGCUUGCGCCAGGGAGGUCGUACUGUGAAUGCAUAUGUGGAGGAAUUCAAUAAUCUUGCACGCUAUGCCCCUAACAAUGUUAACACCGAUGCAGCUAGACAAGAAAAGUUUCUUGAAGGUCUGGAUGAUCAGUUGAGUGUUCAGUUGACAGUGGCAACAUUCAACAAUUGUCAGGAGCUUAUUGAUAAAGCUAUUGUACUUGAAGGAAAGUUUCAAGAAGUGGAGAACCGCAAGAGGAAGGCAAGUGACACAGAGUUCAACUCUGGAGGAUAAUGGAAGCAGCGUAAUUCAUAAGCAUCUUCUAUGUACUAUGAUUCUGAAGUGGACGCGUAUAAUGGUCAUAACCACAAUGCACAUAAUCAUCACAACGACAAUGGGUGCAACCACAAUGGUCAUAGGGAUGGAAACAACAACCACGACCUAUCGACGCCCACCAAGAACGAUAUCAGUCAGUUACUUUGUUACAGGUGUAGGGACCUAGGGCAUUAUUCAAACAACUGCCCUCUGUUAAAGAACAUCAAUUAUGAUAGUGGGAGUUCCGGAGAGGACACGUCUGAUCACGUUGAAAGGGGACAUGUGAACCACACAAGGGUGGGAAGAGCCAAUAAGGCACCAGUCUUCGGUAAGGUUUUAAUAAAGUUCAAGUAUUAUGACCGUUCUUUCAGUAUUGGUGCAUCAUAUUUAGUCAUGUCAAUGGAGUUUUGGAAAUAUGCAAUGAGUAAGCCUCGAAACUUUGGAAUAUGGAUUAUAUCAAGUACCCAUCUUUAAACUUUGCUAGCCAACUCGAAUCUCGAGGACAAGAUUCAUUUUAAGGGGGGUAGAUUUGUAACAUCCCAAAUUUUUAGAUUUGGUAUGUUAAUAGGAUCAUUAUUUUUCAUCGUGAUUUCUAUGCAUAUUUGAAUUUUCUGUUUAUUCGAUGUGUUUUCCAACUCAAGGAAAAAUAUUUGGAGUGGAGAUAAUAUGACUUCUCCUCUGUUAAUUAUAUUUGGAAAAUGCUAAGAGUAUAUUCUGGAGUUUACAUAAAUUAGUUGGCAUUGUUGAAGCUCAAAGUUAUUUUAGAGUUGUUAUAAUGCUCUUUAUGUGGUUGCAUUGCAUAAAUGUUUUUUUUCAAAAGUGCAUAUGUGUUUUAAAAAUGUUCACUGUUUUAUAUAGUAGUAAUAAUGUUUUACUGUAUGCCGUGGUAUUUUUUGGAAGUCACUAGGUAUUUGAUUUUAGUCAAAUGUAUAUAUAAAUAUAAAUGUCAGCUCCUAGGUUUUACUGUGCAUCAGGCUGGCGCACAGUAAAAUUACCCCUCGCCCUCCCGCGCGAGGCAGACCAAUAGGCCAGCCCAUUUUUGGCGAAACCGGGCAGCCCACCCGCAGCUACUUCGUUCUAUUUGUUUUUUUUCUUCACACCCAAGUCCCGCUGACACUGGACCCCACCAGGUCAUCUCCUUCCUCGGGUUGUACUCCUGUUAACGCACGAUGCCGAGUCAACCGACUCCAAUCCUCGUUGACUCGUCUCUGUUUCUGAUCCUUCUACCACGACCAACCCCAUAUAAUUUCCGCCCGAGUCCUCCUCUACCGAUUUUCGCCAAAACGGAGUUCUCCCGUGCCCUAGAACGGCUGUUCGAUCUCACCGGAGUUCAGCCGCUGUUGACCUCCACCAUCGUCGUUUCCGUCGUCGACAGGGGGUCUCUGAACCUUCCCUCCCCUCUGUUCUCCUUGCCUUGGUCUCCUCCAUCCCCCUCAUCUCUUGUUUUGCACAGGGGAGCACCAGGACGCCGCCCACGAGCCCAACCCGAAGAAGAUCGCCGCCGCCCCAAAGCUCCUGUCGCCGUCGAUUCUGUCGCGUCUGUAGGUUCCUAGAACCUCCUGCCUUCUCUGUUAUCUUCGCCAUGCCAUACUCUAUCUCCCUGACCCCCAGUUUUUCUCAGGGACGCAUCCAAACCGAGAACAUCGAGCUCGACCCGAAGCUCCACUCCGACGUCGCCGUCCAGCCGGUCCUCGCGGACGCUAGCAGAAGCUCCGGUCGCCCAGGGGCACAUAUUCGAGUUCGCUGUGUUCCUCCUCACCUCGUCCUGUUCUCCCCUAGCUUGGGAGACCUCUCCAGCGAGCGCACGCUCGAAGUCCGAGCCGGCCACGCCGUCUUCCUCAACUCCGGCGGCCAUCGAGCCAUGUCUCUCCGUGAGUCGCCUUGCACCGUCCGAUCCCCAUCCAAUGGCCAAGAUUAGAUCUGGUGUUUUUUUCUUUGCCGAACCGUUUUUCUCUAUGUUGUGGCCGUUUGUCGUUUAAGCCUCGCAGCGAAUGGUUCUCAGCCAUUAAUAGCCCGCCACGUGACAACGCCUCAGCAGCCGCGGCAGUUCUUCCAAGAACGCUAUUAUGGCAUAAUUUUUCUUUACAGAUUUCAUAUCAUAUUUUUGUUUAGGUAUAUCUUGAGAUCUGUAACUCCGAAUUCAACGAUUCUUUUUCCUGUGUACUCGUAGAUACCAGGAGAAUACCUUACAACCAAAAAAUUCACAUCUUUUGCACUAUUUAAAUUUGAAUUUGCUCAAAUUUUAAUUCAACCUUCUAGAGGCCAUAUCUUUCAAACCAUUUAUCCAGAUCAGUUGAUUCUUUUUGCAUUGUGAUCCUACUAGCAUGUAGACAAUAUUUACCUACUGUUAUGUUAUGUCAAUGAAAUUUUUAUUUGAAUUCCUUGUUGUUUACUUUAUUUUAGGGUUAUGUGAGCAUAGUUUAUUUAUCGAUGACUCCGUUAAUCGUAUAGAUGUCCAGAAUGUGAAGCGGAUCAGAAUUAAGCGUUAGAGUACUUCAACAUCGUUCAAGGCAAGUUUGCACUUUUGAUCUUGCUCAUCCUAUAUUCUGCUAUGCAUGUGUGAUUUUUAUGCUAUUACAUGUGCUUGGUUUGAUCUGUAUGUUCUCUGUUGUCAUAUUCUGAUAUUGAUUGUGUUAUGUGAUGGUGUGAUCAACUUGCUAUGGUAGACGUGGGCAUGUGUCGAGUGAUGCAUGGAAGUGGUGAGUGUUUAUAGCUGUAGGUUCCGGACUUUGACUCGGGUGAAUGCGUCAAUGGCUGAGCGCUCUAUUGUCCCUAGAGAAUGCGCCAUGACUGAGUGCACUUGAGUUGUCGGGGCUUUUUCUCAUGUGAAUGCAUCACUGGCUGAGCGCUCUAUUGUCCCUAGAGAAUGCGCCAGGGCUGAGCGCACUUGAGACAUCUUGAAGAUCCUUAAUGUUUGCACCUUGCCUAUGUCGUGGAGGUAGGUGAAGAUAGUUUUACGCGAAACCAAACUUGAGUGUUUUGUUUGUCAUACUUUGCAGUUAGAUGUAGGUUUGCUUUAUCAUUAUGUGUAAUUUGCCAAUACAUUCAAUGUAUUGACCCUUUGUGGCUGCAACUUAUUAUGUUGCAGGAUUUUCAGAUGAUCAGUGAGAUAUAGUAGGGUCGCGAGUCUUCACUCAACAUCUUCUCCAGUGGGCAUUGAUGGACUCAUCGUUUAUUAUGCUACCUUUCCGCUGUUAUUAUUGAAUAAGUUAGCUAUGUGCUACUCAGUUUGUAAUACCUUAUGAAUUCUGGAUCAUACGUUAUAGUAAAUGAUGCACUUGUUAUUUGAUAUUCA
rnacentral:lncRNA from 1 species